rnacentral:rRNA from 1 species
CACGGGGGGGAGCAAGCGUUGUUCGGAAUCACUGGGCGUAAAGAGCGUGUAGGCGGCCAGAUAAGUCCGCUGUGAAAUCUCGAGGCUCAACUUCGAGCUGUCGGUGGAAACUGUCUGGCUAGAGUCCGGAAGAGGAGAAUGGAAUUCCUGGUGUAGCGGUGAAAUGCGCAGAUAUCAGGAAGAACACCCGUGGCGAAGGCGGUUCUCUGGGACGGUACUGACGCUGAGACGCGAAAGCGUGGGGAGCGAACAGG